UUUUUUACUUGAUAUUGUAUUAUAAGUUUUUUAUCUGUUACUGUUGAGAAUGUUUAUUAUGCAAAUUAGUAUUUUUUUGAAUCAAAGUAUAACCUAAAUUGGUCUGAUUUUGGUUUAGUAUCAACUGAUCUGACUAGAUUGUGAUUCAAGUUAACCUAAUCUUUGGCAGUUGGGUGAAACCUAUUUCGAUGUGACUUUGAUAUUGCAGACUUUACAGCUUAAGUGGAGUAUUUUUUAUACUCUGUUGAGCAAUUUUUUUGCUUUUAUUGCAUUUUUAAGUAAAUUCAAGGUCUCUAUUUAUAGAGUUACUAGUAAAUCCGAUAAUCCGGAUUACCAAAUAAUAGGAGCGAGUGAAAGGUGCUCAAACACUGGUAAAGUUUACUUUCGUUUAGCAUAAAAUAUUAGUCUAAUGGAAAUGGAAAGAGUUGAAGAGUUGACAGUUUUUAAAACAAUAGAUGGCGGUCAAAUUAUGUCUCACAUACAAGGUUUACAAAGAAACAACAAGAAACUAUUGGAGCGUCUAUUGGAGUUAAAUUAGUGUUUGUUGGUGUUGUUUGGUUCAACUGCUAAGAUGAAGCCAUUUCGUUUUGCAACUGAUUGGUUGACUCCUGCUGGUCUUUAGUUGUAAUUAACAAUCAAUUGGAGUGAUGGAAAUGCAAAUUUGAUUUUGUGAAGCAAGGGAAAAAAGGUUACAAACAGAAACCAAGAAACAAUUUUGUAUUAAUGUAUCAAUCCAAGAUGACAUUUGAAGAUGGAACAAGCAAGCCAGCAAAGAGAAGCAAAAAAAGCUAAUAUUUCUGUCAACAAAAGCGAUGGCUGUGUAAAAUAAUAAUGCUGAAAGUCCGAUUUUACUUGGUUUUAUACGUUUAUAUAUUUAUAUCAUCAUCACCAUCAUGAUUGGAACGAUUUUUUGGCACGAAAAUAUCUUAAACCUUUCCCUUUACAUUCUGUGCUGUUGUUUUUUACGAUUGUUACAAGCUAACCUUUUCGCCUUGAGGGCUUGGAGUUGCUGUUUGUUGCAUCUUUAAGGCUGUUUCUCUAUACAUCUUACUUUUAUUUUAUAGUUUAUAUAUAAAAUAAAUGUGUAUUAACAUCUUCAACAGAGUCAACCUUCAACCUAGUCCACAGUAUAUAUGUGUGUUCAGUUAAAGCUGUGUGUCUCAAAUUAUUCAGCUAAACCAAAUAAAAAUGGAAUGGAAAGAGCGUUGAUAUUGACGCGUUUAUCUUUAUCAUUUUCAUCAUCAUCAUCAACAUGAACCUUCUUCUUUUCAAGCCAAUUAACUCGUCUUUAACUAACGACACUGUAUUGGUCUUGGGUGGCCUUCAAGAUGAUCCUGAUGAUUGAAAAAGAGCCAGAUAUUCAGGAGAAAAAAAAACUAGUCAAGAAAGAAGCAAAGGAGAAAAAAAUGUUUCAUUGAACAACAAGGAGAAGGAGCAAGAAGCUAUAAAUUUAAUAAGGAAUCACAACUAAUGUCAAACACAAUUUUACUAUUUUGGUUAAAAGUGAAACAGAUUUAACAAGCAAAAUGUUUUAUAAUCAAACAAUUAUUCAACAUUAUUAUUAUUACUAUUAUUAUUAUCAUCUCAACAAAAGAAAUGGAAAAAGAAGAAGCAAAAGGAAAGGCAAAAUUUUCUGCUGCUCUUCAUCUUCUUCUCUUCAUCAUCGUUCGCCAUCUCACUCAUCUUCACAUUCAAUUUCUUGUAUACAAAAAGAUGAAAAUUUUGUUCAACAACAAAACCAUAUAAACAUCAUUUUUAUCAUCUUUUCAUAUUCACUUGAUUCAUAAGCAGUCGCUGCAAUGUAAACAGAAUUAAGAUGAGAAAAGAUGUUUUAAGAUGAUGAACAAAGAUGCUGAUGAUGUUACCACUGUUGAUGAUGAUGUUGCUGGUUGGUAAAGAUGAAGAUAAAGCCUUUCCUUUGUAAUCUCAACUCUAUUUAUUAAACAAUAUUUAAAAAUGGCUUCUUAAAGAUUGAUGUAAGUGAUGAUUGACUGUUAAGUAUAAAACUUAACUGUACGUUUAAAAUGUUAUUUUAAGGUCAAUUUGGCUGUUGUUAAGGUCAGUUUUGUGAUUCUUUAAUCAACCUUUCAUCACUUCAUUUAAUCAUUGUAACACACACACAAUAAAUACAAUUCAAUGAAUUGGUUGAUUACAAGCAACAACAACAAAAACCUCAAUAAGAAAGUCAAAGAAGGCAAAAAAACAUUGUAAAAUCGAAACAUAAAGAAAAGGACUUUUCAAUGCAAUUUAAUUUCUUUUCAAUUCAACCUUUUAUGAUUAAAUUAACAGCCUCAGUUGAA